GUGGGAUCACGCUGAAGCAAGAGCUCGCCUGGAAGACACGAAGGUGACUUGAUGACUUGCAUGUAUUGCUGUGGGCCAGCCUGUACCAACGCAGGAAGGGCACCACAGGGACUGACUGGAAAAGAGCUUUCAUGAGGGGUCUUCGUGGAUUCUGGGCGAUCCUUUUAAGACUACUGCUCUCAUCCUGUCCCUUAUCCCUGCUUCUUUUGGCGAACCAGUUACGUCUGGUUUGAGAGAGCUGUGAGCAGACACUUCCGGCAGGGGGCAGCACAGACUCGUAUUUGUUCUUGGCUGACCAGUUCGGUCCCCUUAGCAUUUUCUUAUUGUCUACCUGAGCCUGCUGAGCACAGUGCCCAGGCAAUUAUUUUUAUGACUUCGAGACAGCCACACACAAUCGGAUUGAUACAGCAGGAGGUGAUCCGGAUGGGCCGAGGAGGCACGAAGAGGGCCCGAGGCCCAGUCUUGUACAAAUAAGUACCAAAUAAGGGUUUUUGUAAUAGAUGUCCUUUUCAUUUGUCUUACAAGUGGGCAGUGUCUGAGCGGACUGAAGUGUUCCCAGGUGUUGGGCACUUGGGGGUCCAUGAGGACUGCCUGUGCUCUCAUCUGGGCCUUUAGGAACGGAUCCAGCUUUCAAUACAUUGUCGGCUGUUCCUGUGACAGAUCUCAUCUACAAUAGGUGGCUUUGAAAGUUUAAGUCCCUCAUCAGUGAGUAAAGCAUGUGCCAGUAACCCCUGCCCUAUCUCUGCUUCGCCCCCCACCCCACCCCCGACACCUUAAAAGGAAGUAGCAAGUCUCUCCAGUGAAGAAUC
rnacentral:lncRNA from 1 species